ensembl:lncRNA
ACCCCUUUAUAAAGGUGAACACAAUGGGUUUGGUUUACUUUUCGCAUCGGCCUGUGUCAAUCGAGGUUGAGUUUAGUGAGGGUUGAAAGUUUUCGAUCUAGAUCGUAGAUCACUAUUGUCACUUUAUACAAACUGAAAGUAUGCGUUGUUGCGUGUUUGUUUUUGUGGGCAUUUGACUGAACAGCCCAGACAAAUAUUGCUACCAACAUGGCACUUCGAAACAGACAUCCGCAGUGUUAGAUGACUGACAAGAUCUAUGGGGGGGCCCCCUUUGGGCCCCCCCUUACCAACUUAGUCUUCAAAGGAAUCUAGUGCCAUGGGACUCCAGUGUCUUCAAAACAUCCUCGGAAUACAUGUGUAUGAAUGGUCCACCGAAGGGUUGAUCUGGAAGCCACCACGGUCCACGCAGUAAUCUGCUGCAUGGGCCGUAGUGGCUUCCAGAGCCAUCUUUCGGUCUUGGUCAGGAUUUGUUACAGUUGCCCUUCAAUGUAGCAGGCUACGGGUUUCUGAAGAAGCCUGCUUUAAGUAGCAUUGGAGUACAAAUACUGUGCAAAAUGCUCAUGUAAUUGCACUAGCAUUAGUAACCUGUAGAUUAGCUUAGUUUAACGUCAUUCCAUGCUGUCUGUCAAAUGUGUGGCUUACUUUAAGUCCACAAGGCCCUCUGGUAAACCAUGUUGGAACACCCCUGGACAAGGUGAUUAGUCACUGGGUGUGUGCUAAAGUUUUGUUCCAUUUUUCACUAGUUGGUUAAGGUUUGGUAGAAUUGUUUGGAUGCUAGCGACGUGAUGGCGUAUGUACAAGAGCCUACCGUGGCCAGGCCACAGUUGCAACGGCCACGGCCAUAUGGCCUAGUGUGAGUGCAACCUUGAUUGCAUUUGUAUACUGUUUACCAUUGGAUGUUUAUGCAAUUUGGCUUAAUUCAUCCGCAGUAAAGCUGCAUUUGACUAUUCGAGGGUCGUUUUGUACAGGCUUUCAAUUGACCAUGUUGACUAAGUUUUUUUUUUUUUUUACCCUUGCUUACAAUCCAACGGUUGUGACCACUUAUGCAACUGGGCUGUGAACCUUGCAAUUCUAGUUGCAUAUUUGUACACGCAAGCUUGUCUAUUUCUAUUGCCAUCACUAACACUAGCUUCAGCAUUUCCUUGUAGGCCAUUAGCUGACUUGUGUAUUAGAGCGAUGAUUUGGGUAUUUUAAGAUGCUUGAAAACCUAAAAUAAAGCAAAAUGCGUGUCUGGUGUGCAAGAGCCAAUUUGUUGGCUUGCAGUAGUCGAGGAGUUGCCGUAGGUCGUAAGCCAUCUGGAGGUUGUGGCAAUGGAGGCUUGUGGUAGAUCUGCCAUCCAAGAAAGGUUAAUUCUUCUGAAGCAUGAUUAAUAGUUUAGUAAAUUGAAUCUAUUCAUAUAGAACUAUAAAAUCCAAGACUGCAGCCAGUAACUUGGAUCGCAAUAUGUGGAAAGUAUUAGUCUUCAUUUGUAACAGAAUAAUUAACAUGACUUACUUACUACUUACUAACUGGAUUUCUUCCAUUUUCUAACUAGGGGGACUUGACUGGUGAGUCUACUGGAUUAAUCAGUAGCGGUACUUUGCCCAACAGAUUUGAUGGCAUGACUACAGGGUGACAAAGACAAUUAUUCCCUGCCUAACAAAAGAGACUUCUAAAACAUAUCUGCUAGAACAGUUCCUAUACUUUUUGUAUAAUUUGCUCCAUAUUUAGUUCUUUGACAGCCUCACCUGCUAGAAAAGUCUAUUCAAAUCGGCUAAAUAUAAUGAACUAAAUUAAUAGCCAUGAAAUGUUUUCACUCAUACUAAUGGCAAAUACCCUCUUUCAGUUGGUAGUUCAACACUGAUGUCUCUCUAGGCUUGAGGGAGAGCUCACAAGUAAAUUACACGAAUGUCCUGGAGCAAUUGGGAAUACACUUUUAUUUAGUCUACCUGACCAGGGACAUCUUUGAACUAUAGGUCACCUAACCCAAACUUUUCACUCUUGUUAGGGUGUCCUUUUCUCUUGUUUUAACCUGAAAGGGCUGAAAUAUCAACAUUUCAGGUAUUCUGUUUGGAUAAUGUGCAAAACUUGUGGCUUCACUAAUAAAAAAAAUUAACAAAUGUAUUUUUCUUAAUGUGGUUAAACUAUUUAAAGAUUUGUAUGCAAAAUAUUUCUGCUCAAUUUGUGGUCAAUGAAACUCUGAAAUUUUUAAUUUGAUAAAACACAACUAUGGGUUAAAGGUAUUUGCUUUGGGCAUCUUUUGAUAUUUUUAGAAUCUAGCUCCAUUGCCGUUAGAAAUGGUGUCUCCCCAGUACUGCAAAGUGCUUCCACAAGUUUAAAAAAGAGGCAGAAAAGGAACUGCCAACUAAAUCUAUUUAACAUGGGUAGAAAGUUUCCAUGGAAGCUCUUAGUUGCUGGUUCCCAACACAGCUCCACUGUUAGCCUGUGACCUUGCGUUUAACUUUUUUCGACUUUUGGUGACUUUCACAAAAGAGAAAUGAACUGGUUAAUACAAUAAACAAGACAUUUCAUGGUACCAUUUUGAUCUGUUUGUGGAUAUUGCAUUAAAUCCAUAUGCUUGAAACUUUUCAAUAAUGCAUAUCAACGAAACAAUGGAAUUAAAUAAAUAGUUCAAGC